rnacentral:lncRNA from 1 species
CCACCAACGAUGGUCACCCUUGCUUUGACCCUAGCAUGUGCCCCCACAUCCUCUCUUCCCCUGCUUGUGCCUUGGUUGUCGCCACCAACCAUCUAGGAGCUGCAAAACCCUUCCCUCCUACCUCAACGCCCCCAAACUCCCCUCAAAGAUCUGCCUACUCUACGAGAUCCUCGCCAACACUAAACCACCUUCAUAAUAGAGUGCA